rnacentral:rRNA from 1 species
CGGGAAUUUUGGGCAAUGGGCGAAAGCCUGACCCAGCAACGCCGCGUGAGGGAUGAAGUAUUUCGGUAUGUAAACCUCGAAAGAAUGGGAAGAAUAAAUGACGGUACCAUUUAUAAGCUCCGGCUAACUACGUGCCAGCAGCCGCGGUAAUACGUAGGGAGCAAGCGUUGUUCGGAUUUACUGGGUGUAAAGGGCGCGCAGGCGGGAUAAAAAGUCAGUGAUGAAAUCCUACAGCUUAACUGUAGAACUGCCUUUGAUACUUUUAGUCUUGAGUUCGGGAGAGAGAGACGGAAUUCCAGGUGUUGUGGUGAAAUACGUAGAUAUCUGGAAGAACACCAGUUGCGAAGGCGGUCUCUUGGUCCGACACUGACGCUGAGGCGCGAAAGCGUGGGGAGCAAACA